rnacentral:rRNA from 1 species
UACGUAGGGUGCAAGCGUUGUCCGGAAUUAUUGGGCGUAAAGGCUCGUAGGCGGUCCAUCACGUCGGGAGUGAAAAGCUGGGGCUUAACCCCAGUCCUGCUUCCGAUACGGGUGGACUAGAGGUAGGCAGGGGAGAACGGAAUUCCUGGUGUAGCGGUGGAAUGCGCAGAUAUCAGGAGGAACACCGAUGGCGAAGGCAGGUCUCUGGGCUGACACUGACGCUCAUGCACGAAAGCGUGGGGAGCAAACAGG